GUUUUAAUUGUACUUUUUGUUUCCUGCAGAUCGGACCUCGGGAAGUGCUUCAUUUAUCAGAAGCAGAAUACAAUGUUGUAGGUGUAAGCAAUACUGGAGAUAGGGCUCGACUCGCCAGUUUAUAAGUGGAGAAGCUGAGUCGCCAGUACUGACAAAAGUGAAAGAAUUCCAACAGAAGCGAAAAAGAAAGAAACUCAGCUUUAGUCUAACAACACUAAAUAACCAUAAACCCAGCAAAACAAGACGUGUGACUGUUGGCUGGAAACACAAGACAAGUGACACGUAUCAUUUGGUUGAUCCAAAAAAGGGUGGUGGCAAGCAAGUUAUCGAUAUGGACAAAUGUCUAUCAAUAGAUGAAGCAACAUCACUAGUGGCAGCAAAGUACUUUCCAAGAGAAAGAAAUUUGACAGCAAAGAUGAAUCUGUCCGGUCUAACAUAUUUUCUUGCUUCAUUUAUUGGUGAAACCAUUGACUCUGAUACCUAUUCAACAAUAGGAGAUUUCUUCAACAGCCUCAAGACAUCACCCAUACGGAUUUAUCUUCAUACAGAGUUGAAGACUUCAUUGCCAGUUGAUUCUUCAGAUGAUGAUUUACCUUCUAUCAACAGACAGCCCAGCAUCAAUCACAGGUUGAAGCUGAGCACCAGACCGCAUUUUUAAGACAGAGGGCGCCGUAUAAAAAAUAACAGCUCCAUCUUCGGUGCAACGUCCAUUUUCACCUCGGGGAAUCUACACAACGACGAUAACUACCGCUGAGUACCGGUUUGUACAUUUAUUAUUGUUUUAAACUUUUUUCUAUUAUUUACCACAGUUCAAAGGUUUUAAAUCAUUAAUAUGUGUUAAGAAACCAAUGUCGUUAGACAGUCAAUGAAUAGCGUACUUGUGUCAUUUCCUGGACUAGUCAUUUCCGUACUCAAAUUAGCUCGUACCCAUUUUUGGUCACGAUAUAUUGAUCGUAUGAAAAUUAAUUUUCUGCAGAUUAAAUCAUAGGCGCUUGAUGGUAUGAGCGAGUAACCCCUGUGAUUAUGGAUUUUACAACAUAAUACUAUAGAUUAUUUAGAUCUAGACAUCAGUAGUUCAUUACUUACAUGUAGUCAGUGUUAGUUGUCAUUGCUGAAAGUUUGGAUAAAAUCUGUCAAAUAAUGAAUGAGGAGUUCAGGUCACAAAAAUGUGUGAUGGACUGACAGACAGAAGGACGGGGGACAGACGGAAGGACAAAGUGAUUCCAAUAUCCCCCCUCAGCCUUACAUAUCCCCCCCAACCUAAGCCAAGGUUGAGGGGGGCAUAACAACUAUUUUUUCCAGAAUAGAAUUGAAUAGAAUAAUUCUACUUUCCAAUCAGACAUUCAAUCACACUUAUGGCCACUCAAGGCAUAGCUUGUUGUUAAAGAGGAACAACAAUUGUGUCACUAUUAAACAAAAAAUAUAACUACAGGGUGUUCCCAAAUGUAAAGUAACCAAUACUUUUUAUAUUCAUUUUUAAUAAAUUGAUGGUCACAUAUUUUUACAUCUGUUUGUAACUCAAAUACUUUACAAAUGUUUGAAAGGGUACACAUAGGCAUUUUAUUCAUGUAAAGUAGUGAAAGAAGCAAAUACUGUGAAUUCAUUAUUAUUUGUCGGGUUAAAUUUUUAUUGGCUUAUCCUGGUUGUUUGUUGCAGUAGAUUGACAAAUAUGUGCUUUAACAUACUUGCAACACACCAGGUUAUCUUCUGCAUGCCCCCCACCCCACCCCACCCCACUCACGACGCGCACGCCACUAGCGAUGAGGAUGUAGUUUGUUUUCCAUUUUUUUUUUUUGUAUUUCUUAUAUAUUUUUCAUUUCUGAUUGAUAUACCUGUGAUCUGUGAUGCAUAGGUCAAAAACAGUAGCUUCAUGGCAGGUCAUAUCAGUGACGGUUUCACAUUUAGUGUGAUGCCACGGAAGUGCUGUGUCAAGUCGCUUUCCAUGCAGAUGUCAUUUAUAAAUACGGCUAGAUGCGAAAACGAACUAAAAGAUCAAGCCGAAUUUCAGGUGGAUUUUUUAUAAAGCGACCUGGAUACAUUUUUAUUACAUGUUUAAGCCAAACGAGCCAUGCCAUUAGAAAACCAACAUAGUGGCUUUGCGACCAGCAUGGUUCCAGACUAGCCUGCGCAACUGCGCAGUCUGGUCAGGAUCCAUGCUGUUCGCUAAUGGUUGGUCUAAUCGGAAUUCGAAUCAACACAACAACACUUCCCCAACAUCCUGACUCCCCUCGCCCUCAACUCCCCCCCCUCCGGGUACACCCCCAA